rnacentral:tRNA from 1 species
ACCUAGCGGCUAUAUUGCGAUCUUUUGCAGAAUCACCCUUGAUUUUCAGCAUUUAGGGCCUGUCUGGGGGACAGGGGGUCGUCGGUUCAAGUCCGGCCACUCCGACCA